CAGAAGUCAGGUCGGAUUAAGCCAUAGUACGGAAAAAACUAUGCUACCUGUGAGCCCCGUCCAAGGACGUUAAAAGAAGUCAGGCCACUACAAGUGCCAUAGCUUGAGUAAACUAUGCAGCCUGUAGCUCCACCUGAGAAGGUGUAAAAAAUCUGGGAGGCCACAAACCAUGGAAGCUGUACGCAUGGCGUAGUGGACUAGCGGUUAGAGGAGACCCCUCCCUUACAAAUCGCAGCAACAAUGGGGGCCCAAGGUGAGAUGAAGCUGUAGUCUCACUGGAAGGACUAGAGGUUAGAGGAGACCCCCCCGAAAUAAAGAACAGCAUAUUGACGC
rnacentral:lncRNA from 1 species